GAUGAACGCUGGCGGCGUGCCUAAUACAUGCAAGUCGAGCGAAUGGAUUAAGAGCUUGCCCUUAUGAAGUUAGCGGCGGACGGGUGAGUAACACGUGGGUAACCUGCCCAUAAGACUGGGAUAACUCCGGGAAACCGGGGCUAAUACCGGAUAACAUUUUGAACCGCAUGGUUCGAAAUUGAAAGGCGGCUUCGGCUGUCACUUAUGGAUGGACCCGCGUCGCAUUAGCUAGUUGGUGAGGUAACGGCUCACCAAGGCAACGAUGCGUAGCCGACCUGAGGGGGUGAUCGGCCACACUGGGACUGAGACACGGCCCAGACUCCUACGGGAGGCAGCAGUAGGGAAUCUUCCGCAAUGGACGAAAGUCUGACGGAGCAACGCCGCGUGAGUGAUGAAGGCUUUCGGGUCGUAAAACUCUGUUGUUGGGGAAGAACAAGUGCUAGUUGAAUAAGCUGGCACCUUGACGGUACCUAACCAGAAAGCCACGGCUAACUACGUGCCAGCCGCCGCCGUAA
rnacentral:rRNA from 1 species